rnacentral:ncRNA from 2 species
GAAAUUAAGUAGAUUACUUGUAACUACUUAGAUUUUGCAUUGGGGAAAGUUUGGUGUAAGUCCAACGCUGUACCGCAACUGUAAAGCCGCUUACUUAAACGCUGCUAAAGUCAGGAUGCCCGCUAGAACUAGUUUUGCUGU